rnacentral:rRNA from 1 species
CAGCCGUAAACUAUGCGCGUUAGGUGUACUGGUGACCACGAGUCACCGGGGUGCCGAAGGGAAACCGUGAAACGUGCCGCCUGGGAAGUACGGUCGCAAGGCUGAAACUUAAAGGGAAUUGGCGGGGGAGCACCACAACGGGUGGAGCCUGCGGUUUAAUUGGACUCAACGCCGGGAAGCUCACCGGAUAGGACAGCAGAAUGAUUGCCGGGCUGAAGACCCUGCAUGACUAGCUGAGAGGAGGUGCAUGGCGUCAGUGACU